AAGGUUAAAACUCAAAUGAAUUGACGGGGGGCCCGCACAAGCGGUGGAGCAUGUGGUUUAAUUCGAUGCAACGCGAAGAACCUUACCUGGUCUUGACAUAUCUAGAAUCCUGCAGAGAUGCGGGAGUGCCUUCGGGAAUUAGAAUACAGGUGCUGCAUGGCUGUCGUCAGCUCGUGUCGUGAGAUGCUGGGUUAAGUCCCGCAACGAGCGCAACCCUUGUCCUUAGUUACCAGCGGUUUGGCCGGGAACUCUAAGGGUAUCGUCGACGUGACAAACUAACGGUAGGGAAAGGGACGGGGACGGGAACCGUACCGUAACGUACUAUCUACGUCGGUCCCGGUUACCCGUUAACCCGAACGGGACGGUUACCAACCAACCGUACGGUCGUACCUAAACUAAGGUUACGGGUUAACGGUAACGGAAGGGGACGGACGACGUAACCAACCAACGGCGGACGUAGUUGGUAGUAGUCGGAAACUAACUUACCUAAAAAACCGAAACCGUCCUUACGUACGGUUACCGUACGUAAGUUAGGGUUAGGUACGUUCGUACGAAACCCUACCGUACCGUACCCUACUAAGGUAAAGGUAAAGGUAAAGUACCGUACCGUAACGUUAAAGUACCGUCGGUACGUACUAAGAAACGUACGUCCGGUCCGGGUUAGGUAAACGUUAACCGGUUUCCCCGGGGUUCCCCGGUUCGUUAACCGUACCUACCCGGUACCGGUACCGGUACCGGGACCGGUACGGUUACCGGGG
rnacentral:rRNA from 1 species